rnacentral:rRNA from 1 species
AGUGAACGCUGGCGGUAGGCCUAACACAUGCAAGUCGAACGGCAGCACAGGAGAGCUUGCUCUCUGGGUGGCGAGUGGCGGACGGGUGAGGAAUACAUCGGAAUCUGCCCAGUCGUGGGGGAUAACGUAGGGAAACUUACGCUAAUACCGCAUACGACCUUCGGGUGAAAGAGGGGGAUCGCAAGACCUCUCGCGAUUGGAUGAGCCGAUGUCGGAUUAGCUAGUUGGCGGGGUAAUGGCCCACCAAGGCGACGAUCCGUAGCUGGUCUGAGAGGAUGAUCAGCCACACUGGAACUGAGACACGGUCCAGACUCCUACGGGAGGCAGCAGUGGGGAAUAUUGGACAAUGGGCGCAAGCCUGAUCCAACCAUACCGCGUGGGUGAAGAAGGCCUUCGGGUUGUAAAGCCCUUUUGUUGGGAAAGAAAUCUUUCAGGCUAAUACCCUGGGAGGAUGACGGUACCCAAAGAAUAAGCACCGGCUAACUUCGUG